UUCACUGACGCAGGUAUUUGUUCGAUGUCACAUAAAUUCAAGGAAGUCGCUCACCUCCUCCAGGCAUCUUCUAUCGUAAUCCAGCUUCACUGGACAAUUCAUUUUGCUCAUGGAGAGUGAACAAAGUCCUUAGAAUUUAGUGGAGUUUUCAAGCUGCUUCAUGUUCUAGUUGAGAUGAGGUCCUGAGCAAGGGGUUCCCAUGCAUUCCUUUUCCAAAACUGCCCUUGACAAUGUCUCCUGUGGACUCCAUUGUGCUUAAAGAGCUGCCUUCACCUGUGGUGGUAACUGCCACAGUGGCCUGCCUGUCUCUGUGACUACCCCCACACUACCAUCUACUCUCAGAAGAGUGACUCUUCAAUCAUGGAAGCAGCCGAUGCCAUUCGGUUCUUCAAAACCCUCCACCUACGGCAAAAGCCAAAGUUCUUCAAAUGGCCAGGCAGGCCAUGGUGCCCUCACUAACUGCGGGUCUUGCUUUAAGGCCCUACUUCAUAGUGUCUAAUGUCUUCCAGUACCUCAGGUCCCCUUUGCGGUCCACCUGAUCUACUCAACUUCCUGUCUUCUUUAACCUGCCUGCCCAUACAUACUCCACUCUCACAGACAAUCCUGAGGGCAGGAAGCUCCGUUGCAGCUUAUUGACGUCCCCUUGGCACUGAAGGAAUUCCUGAUGUACAACAGGCCCUCGGCGUGUCUCUAAAAUGAAUGCACAGUUAAAAACUCUGUCAUUUCUGGGCUCCUGAGGUGGGGGUGAACCCACCCUACCCUUGAGAACUGGAAAUGUAGCAAUGCAAGAACUGUAGGAUGUAGGCUGACCAGGCAGCAAACACAGAGUGGCCUGGCAGAGGAAGGAACAAGAGUUGCCCCUGUGAUCACAAGUCUACGAAACACCCUCCACUUACAAUUUUAUUAUCCUUGAUAGGUAAAAUAGAAACUAAGAUAAUUUGUACUAACAUUAUAAAUAAUGAUUUCUCUCUCUUGUCUCAUCUUGUCUUGUCUCCUUUUCUCUAUGUCCAGAUAGCCUGGAAUUGUCUGUCUAUGCCAGGAUGGCCUCCGACUGAAUUACCCGCCAGCCUCUGCCUCCAAAGUGCUGGGGCAAAGGUGUGUGCCAGAGAGUCUUCUCUGCUCACUGCAGGCCUCAGAGAGAGAAACAACACAGCUCACACGUGCCCCGUUCACUUGUCUCAGUCACAACCCCUCGCUCACUGCCAGAGCUAAUUGCUAACCCAAGUCUGGUGUUCACUGUUCUUACAGUACCUUUUCUACACACGGAUUCCUAAAACACAGUAGCAUUCUAUGGGUUUAAAUGGUACAGAAUGAAGUUUCUUUUUUUUUUUUUUUUUUUUUGCUUUCUUCACAGGUGCUACAUGUACACACACACACACACACACACACACACACACACACGCACACAGGCAUACACACCUGCCCCUUUCCAUUUCUGUAUAAUAUAUCACUCACUUGUUCAUUACCUUGUUAUUAAUUUUCAGUUUUCCUUCAUUUGACAAGCCUGUCCAACAGAACUUUCUGAAAUAAUGUAUAUAGCUGCAUUGGUACUCUAAAAGGACCAUAUUCACCAGGCAGAUAUGGCUACUGAGACCUUGAAGUGUACCUGAGAGACUAAAGGCUUGACAAUGUAAUUUAUCUACUAUUUUUUUUCAAUUUUUAUUUAAAGCUGUACUUCAAACCAAAUCCUUCAAAACAGAAAAGCUGUUUCAAACAAAUAUGUGCAAAUAUCAUAAUACCAAUAUUUUAAAGAUAACCUGCAGACUAUUAUAAAAAAGGCAACUACUAUAUAAAAGAAUCAUAUGGCAAAUCGCUUUUUAUAAAAUCUUUUAUAAAUAAACUUGUCUAGUGAUAGAAGAUAAAAAUUAAAUCUACCCUAAAAAUAAGUAAAUUGCUCAGAAGAUGGAUUGAGUGCUUUGGAAUCAUGUUGUUUCUUUGAAAACGAACUUUUAACUGGGCAUUACAGUAACAAAUACCACUUCAUACCCACUCACUUAUGCCUUCUGAUCUCUGGGUAUGGAAACCUUUUAUGGGUGUCCCUUACUUUCGGGAGUCAUCUUAGUAAACAUUGGAGCUUGUUAAGUGUACUAGGUAUAAUAAACAGCAACAGUGCCAAAUUCAUUUAGUAGGUCUUUAAGGAACUUGGUGUCAUCAAUUGGGCAAAAAAAAAAAAAACCAAAAAAAAAAACAACUCUUAACUGAUAAGGUUAAUUGAGCAAUGAAUGGAAAAGUGCAGUACUGUCUCAGAUGUGCCUGGAAUGCAUCUUGGGAGUACCUGUCAACUGCUGCGUUCUUGUUGCGCGAGUCUUUCUAGAAUAAGGACUCAGGCAUCAGUGAGAGAGGAAGAGAGGAGAUGUCACAGGUAGACUGAAGACAGAAUAGCUCCUGAAAUGCUUUGAUACCUGGUCCAGUUGGCUUUCUCAGUCUAUUUACUAAAACCACAGGUGGGGCGGGCAAGCAAUGUUUUACAGAAGUGUAAGUGGCAGUCAGCAGGCUGUUAAGGGAACAACCCAGUGUUUCAGUCAUUUCUCCAGGUCAUUCUGUUAGCAAGUGAAGUCAUGCUUGGUAAACAGGCAGUUCAAGCAGUGCUUUAAGUGAAUCAACAAAUCAGUAUCUAAUAAUUAGUGUUUUCUGCUGUAUUCUAUUUCAUUCUCAUAACAAACAUAUCGUGUCACAUCGUUUAUUAUCUUGGAUUAAUAAAUAACUGAUCUGUACACAUUUAAGACACUACUGCUCUUUACUUACCGUGAUGAGAAACAGAAGUAUAAGAAGUUAAUUUUAGUACGUAUGUCAGUGACCACAAAUGUGCCGCUUAAAAGGCAUGAGGAACUUACCCAUACAUGCAGACUGUAAGUGAUCUGCAUAGAUGCUAGAGUAAAUAAACAGAAAGGUAACUGAAAGCAAGACUCCAGCUUCCAUGAAGUCACCAUCUGUGAUGGGAAAGAUGUUGUGGUGCUGCAGCUGCUAUGGGGUCGCUCAUGCACCAGUAAGUAAUCCCUACUCACAAUCUGUAAGCCGAGGAACCUCACUGGUUUGCCAACCUGGGUUUCAUUGGAAUUGCUCCUUUGGUAUAUAUUCGUGCCCUAUCUUGGGUGAAGAGAUGUUUAUUCAUAACUCCCUAAGUCAACAUACCACGCCUGCAUAUUUUACUGUUGGCUGUUUUCAUUGCCACCAUAUAAUGGGGUCUUCUCUUUUUUCUCUUGCUUGUUCUUUCUCCUGCUGCCUUUGGGAAAUUCACACUGUGGCUUACGUUGUUUGAUCACUGUCUUUUUCUUAGUGGUCCUGAGUUCUUCAAGUUCUCUUAAUUCUGUGUUACAAAUUAAUCCAUCCUCAUUCAUGGUUUUGUUGGUUUCACUGGUGAGCAGGGUUGUUCAGUGUCAAACUUUCCCCAUGAUCUGCUUCGGAUGUUUUCUGACAUAAAUCUUUACCUGCUUGUCAGCCAUUUAUUCUCAUUUUAAGUCCUUAGUCUAACGUGAAACUCUGAAGCAUAUUUCCCAUGAUUGCUCACAGAGUGAAAUAGUUACGUUUUCUUCGUUAUCUGGCCAUAUAAUAUCAGAACAAGAGUUUGGAUAACACUUAGUCAAGCCUGAAUUCCUUUUUCAUUUUAGCAUUCACUUAUUUAUGUUGUGUGCAUGCUGUGGGGGUGGCAGAGGUUUAUGUUUAUGUGUCAUGACACUCACGCAGAAAUGGCAAGAACAACUUGUGGGAACUGGUUCUCUCCUUCUACCAUGAAGAUUCUGGGGACCAAACUAAGGUCAUCAGACUUAGCAGCAAGCACCUUUACCUGCUGAGUCUUUGAAGCAAAUUCAAGCUCCCUGCUCAGAAAAGCCUGAGAGCCAUAGGACCCUCCUCAGCGUCCAGGAGAGCAGCCCGGACACUCGCUCCAUCCUCACUCUCCGUCAUCCCUGGAGACUGUCCCAACCGAGCCACCGUCUUUCUGCAGCCGGCCUCAGGAGUUAUCAACUUUCUGGUCUUCAAAUAAACCUAGACAUGUGUAAAGGCUUAGGGGAGCAGAGGAUAGGCUGGACUCAAAACAGUAACGCAAAGGACCUUGAAUUUUAUGUUUUGAAAAGUGUGCUUAUAAGAAACCUGAGGACUUUCUGACUGAGAUCAGGAACAAGGCAAGGGGGUCCCUUGUCACCACUCAUUCUCUAUAUCAUGCUGAAAGUUCUAAAUAAUAUAAUAUGGCAAGAAAGGGAAAUGAAAAAUAUAGGGAAACAAUAAGUAAAAAUAAGUAAAACUGUAAUCAUUGACAAGUAAUAUAAUUAUCUAUGUGAAAAAAUCUGAUGGAAUCAACAAAUAACAUUUAUUUGACCUAAUAAAUGAUGAUGACAAA